UACGGGGGGAGCAAGCGUUGUUCGGAUUUACUGGGCGUAAAGGGCGCGUAGGCGGCCACCGCAAGUCAGUUGUGAAAUCUCUGGGCUUAACCCAGAAAGGUCAACUGAUACUGCGGGGCUAGAGUGCAGAAGGGGCAACUGGAAUUCUCGGUGUAGCGGUGAAAUGCGUAGAUAUCGAGAGGAACACCUGCGGCGAAGGCGGGUUGCUGGGCUGACACUGACGCUGAAGCGCGAAAGCUAGGGGAGCGAACGAG
rnacentral:rRNA from 1 species